rnacentral:lncRNA from 1 species
GGGGGACAGGGUUUCUAACAAAACUAGCCAGAGCUUCCUGGUGAACCUUACUUACAGGCAGGGAAACUGAGCCAGACAUGAGACCAGCCUGGGGUCCCCAGCAGCACAAUGGCCUGACUUCUGAUUUCCAGUUCUUUUCUGGCCUCUGGGCUGUGGCUCCUUGGUCUUAGUACUUGAUGGUCAAUUUACUAGGACUCACCAGAGAUCCUCCAUUUACAAAAAGGGCCUGCCACUGCACAGGGCUGAGCCAGCCCCAGAAAGAGGGCGGCAUGGUUGGAGGAGGAGGGGCUGUGACUGGCAAGCUUGCUAAGGUAGAGAACCCCUUGUCUGCAGAGCACUGUGGCUGGUGAUAUCUACGGACAAGAAUAAAUUGAUAGGAAGGGGCUUUCGUCACCUUCAGGGUUUUAAUUCAGAGUGCACACUGCAGGGCUUUGUCUCAAAUGUGCCAGCCUGUUGUCACUGAGAAGCUGCCAGGCCGGCCUGUGUUUGGAGGAACCUGACUCUAGCUGAUAAGGCCUUUGAGUUCCUUGGGUUGUAUUGUUGAAAGGGUUGUUUUUUCUUUUUAUAUUUAAUAUUCUUUCCUUGAGGCUUAAGUCAGCAUGUGCUGACUUAGUAAUGACUUCACUUUUAAUAAAUUCUUCCUCAUGUGAGGAUUAAAGGGGGCCUACCAUGGCAUCUUUAGCACAUGGCUUCAGAACAUGGCGAAAUUUUCAAGAGAGAACUGUUGCUUGGGGGCCUGAGAGGCCACAGGGAUGUACCCCCAGGAGACAGUCAGACAGGAGGGGUUCAGAACGCCAUCCGCUCCCUAGCGCCAUGAACUUAGAGAGAGUUCUCGCUGUUUUCUUGUCUGUGUAUUCACAAAGAUACCAUAAAAAAUUAAUAAGGAAGGAACCCAAAUUAAACUGCUAACUCGAC